rnacentral:rRNA from 1 species
CCUACGGGAGGCAGCAGUUAGGAAUAUUGGACAAUGGGGGCAACCCUGAUCCAGCCAUGCCGCGUGUGUGAAGAAGGCCUUAGGGUUGUAAAGCACUUUCAGCUGUGAAGAUAAUGACAGUAGCAGAAGAAGAAGCUCCGGCUAAAUUCGUGCCAGCAGCCGCGGUAAUACGAAUGGAGCGAGCGUUGUUCGGAAUCACUGGGCGUAAAGGGUGCGCAGGCGGUCAUGAAAGUUAGAAGUGAAAUCCCAGGGCUUAACCCUGGAAUGGCUUUUAAAACUCCAUGACUAGAGUACUGGAGAGGUUGGCGGAAUUCCGAGUGUAGAGGUGAAAUUCGCAGAUAUUCGGAGGAACACCAAUGGCGUAGGCAGCCAACUGGACAGUAACUGACGCUCAUGCACGAAAGCGUGGGGAUCAAACAGGAUUAGAUACCCUGGUAGUCCACGCCCUAAACGAUGUGUGCUAGUUGUCGGUUCGUUAGUACGUACGGUGCGCNGCUACGUACUUAACGUACACACCGCCGUCGGGAGGUACGGUCGCGAGAGUAAACGUAACUAAUAGUUAGUUAGUACGGCGUUGAGACGUUGCCGACGGACGACGACGAGGGGAGGAGG